CGCGUGGGAAUCUGCCUAGUAGUUGGGGACAACCUGGUGAAAACCAGGCUAAUACCGAAUGUGGUCUACGGACUAAAGCAGGGGAUCUUCGGACCUUGCGCUACUAGAUGAGCCCGCGUUAGAUUAGCUAGUUGGUAGGGUAAAAGCCUACCAAGGCGACGAUCUAUAGCUGGUCUGAGAGGACGAUCAGCCACACUGGGACUGAGACACGGCCCAGACUCCUACGGGAGGCAGCAGUGGGGAAUAUUGGACAAUGGGGGCAACCCUGAUCCAGCAAUACCGCGUGUGUGAAGAAGGCCC
rnacentral:rRNA from 1 species